rnacentral:rRNA from 1 species
GACGAACGCUGGCGGCGUGCUUAACACAUGCAAGUCGAGCGGUAAGGCCCCUCCGGGGGUACACGAGCGGCGAACGGGUGAGUAACACGUGAGCAAUCUGCCCAUCACAUCGGGAUAACUCCGGGAAACCGAAGCUAAUUACGAAUACAACCACCUCCGGCAUCGGAUGGAGGUGGAAAAUUCCGGCGGCGAUGGAUGAGCCCGCGGCCUAUCAGCUUGUUGGUGGGGUAACGGCCCACCAAGGCCUCGACGGGUAGCCGGCCUGAGAGGGUGACCGGCCACACUGGGACUGAGACACGGCCCAGACUCCUACGGGAGGCAGCAGUGGGGAAUAUUGGACAAUGGGCGGAAGCCUGAUCCAGCAACGCCGCGUGAGGGAUGACGGCCUUCGGGUUGUAAACCGCUUUCGGCAGGGACGAAGCGCAAGUGACGGUACCUGCAGAAGAAGCACCGGCCAACUACGUG